AAUGCAGCCCUAAGAAGCAAUAUAUAUAUAUAUAUAUUGAACCCAGUAGAGUAUAUCCAAAUAAUAUUGUGACACGAAAUCAAAAUAAAAAGUUGCUGAGAGAGCUGACCUUUUUUCCCCCCUAGGUCUUGGAAAUCCUGGUAUAUUUUCUCAUGCAACACAUUUCAACAUACAUCCCAAUGCUUGGCAGCACCCAUGGCAGCACCUCCCUCCUUGGGCAGCCUCUGUCCACUGGCAGCACCCCCCUCCACCUGGCUCACUGCACUCAUGCCUGCUGGCCUUUGGUUUUCAUCCUUGAAAUUGCUACGUUCUCUCCGGGCUGAGGUCCUUCAUGCACAGAGCAACCUCUGCCCCGCAAGCCCCUCUCCCCGCACACACCGGCCUCGUCACCACCUCCUGCUCUUUCCUCCCACCGCCCUCAACAUAACUGACAAUUACAAGUGGACUUGUUUACUGAAGACCCAAAGGACAGGAAGCAGAGCACCCAUUAAUACACAGUUCGCCAGACUGGAUAAAAACACAACCGAGCUAUAGGCUGUUCACAAGAGACACAGCUAAAAUACAAGGAGGAUCUAGCAAGUUCAAGAGAAAAGGAUUCAAAGAGAGCAUGCAAACACUAACCAAGAGAAAGCUAGUACUGCUCUAUUAAUAUUAGAUACUGUGUUUUAGGAUGAAAGUAGAAUCAGAACUAUCGUAGAUAAAGAGGAAUAGUUCAUAAUCAUGAAAAGUUUAACAUACCAGGAAGAUGUAGUAAUUCUUUAUAUGCCCAAAGUAUAAAGCAGGUCGGACGAGAUUAAGAUGGCAGAGUGGAAGGACCAGAGCUCACCUUCUGUCAUAAAAGCAACAAAAUUACAACCAGCUGCUGAACAACCUUCAACAAAACAGUCUGGAAACCAUCAAGAAAGAUGUCCUACUCCAGAAGACAAAGAGGAGGCCACACGGAGAUGGCUCCAUCCUGCCAAGCAGGGCAGCUGAACUUGAAGAGGAACCCCAGAGUCUUGCUGGCUCAUCCCAGCGUCUCCUGGCUGAAAAAAUAAGAGGACCAAGCUCAGCGUGACCGGAGCAGAAGGAACGUGAGGGAGGAUCCGAGGAAAGAGGGGCCGAGAGGGAAUCCAAACACUGUGUGUAAGUGCCCAAGGCGCUGGUUGAUCCUGCAACCAGGCGCAAGCAAAGCGCCCUCCAAGGAGCCCGGCUAAGCUGAGGGCGCUUCAAAGAUCUCUGCUGUUUCCCAUGGGGACAAGGAAGAGACGCAGAGAAGAGCUGGAAGCUUAAUUCUAGCCAGUGAACUGUCCCUCUCUUUAAAAACAGCACUUCUCAGAGGAACAUAACAAAAUCCUGAGUCUCUAACCUGUAUUAUUCACCAAGUGUGGGAUACAGUCCAAAUACUACCAGGCCUGCACUCAAGAGACAGGCAGUCAGUAGAGACUGAUCCUGAAAAGAUCCAGAUGUUGGAAUCAGCAGGCAAGGGUUGUUAAAGAGCUGGUGUAACUAUGUCCAAAGGUGUAAAGGAAAAUAGUUUUUAAUAAAUGCACUCAGUAGGAAAUCUCAGCAAAGAAACAUACUAUAAGAAAGAGCCAAGAGCUGAUUCUAGAAUGGAAAAAAAGUUUGAAUAAAAGAUGUCCUAGUA